rnacentral:rRNA from 1 species
GAAAAGCUACGAAGGGUGUGCGACGGAUGCCUAGGGACAGGUGGCCGAUGAAGGACGCGCAAGCGGCGAAACGCCCCGGGGAGCUGCACAGAAGUGUUGAUCCGGGGGUGUCCGAAUGGGGAAACCCGGCGAGGGUAAUGCCUCGUCAGUCAUAGCUGAAUACAUAGGUUAUGGCAGGGAACCGGCCGAACUGAAACAUCUAAGUAAGCCGAGGAAAAGAACUCGAAGAGAUUCCGUAAGUAGCGGCGAGCGAAAGCGGAAGAGCCUAAACCCUAAUGCUUGCAUUAGGGGGUUGUGGGACCGCGUAAAGCGACAAUAGGUUAGUGGAACAUUUCUGGAAAGUUGGACCACAGCGGGUGACAGUCCCGUACACGAAAGCCGAAGAUAGCUGGCGGUAUCCCGAGUAGCGCGGAGCACGAGGAAUUCUGCGUGAAUCUAUCCGGACCACCGGAUAAGGCUAAAUACCGCCUGUCACCGAUAGUGCAACCAGUACCGUGAGGGAAAGGUGAAAAGUACCCAGGGAAUGGGGGUGAAAUAGUUCCUGAAAUCGCAUCACCCACAAACAGUCAGAGCGCUAUGCUUUGAGCAAUCGAAGAAUGCGUGAUGGCGUGCCUUUUGCAGAAUGAGCCUGCGAGUUGUUUGUGCCGGCAAGGUUAAGCGGUUGAGCCGCGGAGCCGGAGGGAAACCGAGUCUGAAUAGGGCGUCUAGUCGGUACAAGCAGACCCGAAACUGCGUGAUCUAGCCAUGGCCAGGCUGAAGUGGGGGUAACACCUCAUGGAGGGCCGAACUCAUUGACGUUGAAAAGUCUCGGGAUGAGCUGUGGUUAGUCCGGUGAAAUGCCAAUCGAACGCAGAGAUAGCUGGUUCUCCCCGAAAUGCAUUUGGGUGCAGCGUUACGUGUUUUCCUAUGGAGGUAGAGCACUGAAUGGGCUAGGGGCCCUACCAGGUUACCGAACCCAAUCAAACUCCGAAUGCCAUAGGAUUAGCGUAGCAGUGAGACGGCGAGUGCUAAGAUCCGUCGUCAAAAGGAAAACAAUCCAGAUCAGCAGCUAAGGGCCCUAAAUCACCGCUAAGUGUAAAACGAUGUGAGAUCGCGUAAACAGCCAGGAGGUUGGCUUGGAGGCAGCCACCCUUUAAAAAGUGCGUAACAGCUUACUGGCCGAAUGUGGUCUUGCGCGGACAAUGUAAGGGGGCUCAAGCGGUGUCCCGAAGCUCUGGGUUUCCGAGAAAUCGGAAGCGGUAGGGGAGCGUCGUAUUUGCAGUGAAGAUAGAGCGUGAGCACUGUUGGAGCGAAUACGAGUGAGAAUGCAGGCAUGAGUAGCGAGAACACAGGUGAGAAUCCUGUGCGCCGAAAACCUAAGGUUUCCCCCGCCAUGUUCGUCAGCGGGGGGUUAGGCGAGUCCUAAGGUGAGGCCGGAAGGCGUAGCCGAUGGAUAGACGGUUGAUAUUCCGUCCCCGGACGAAGGUUGUCAAGAGGGACGCUUCCAAACGUUCCAUCCCACACUGUUGGUAGUUGUGGGCCCGAAGCGGGCGUGGCACGGUGAAAACGUGCAUGAUCGCUCGCCAGGGGCAAGUGGAUUCUUCGGAUGAAGCGAACUGGAAUAGAUGGGGGCCGAGAAAAGCUCUGACGACAUUAACCUUCGCCCGCUCGUACCGCAAUCCGACACAGGUAGGUGAGUCGAGGAGACUUAGGCGUUCGAGAGAACUCCGGUCAAGGAACUAGGCAAACGAGCCCCGUAACUUCGGAAUAAGGGGCGCCUCGGUGCUGAGCCGAGGCCGCAGCGAAGCAGCCCAGGCGACUGUUUACCAAAAACACAGGUCUCUGCUAAGGCGAAAGCCGAUGUAUAGGGGCUGACGCCUGCCCAAUGCCAGUAGGUUAAUGGGAGGUGUUCGUUACGAUUCGUCGUAGCAAAGCACCGAACUGAAGCCCUGGUGAAUGGCGGCCGUAACUCUAACGGUCCUAAGGUAGCGAAAUUCCUUGUCGGCUAAAUACCGACCCGCAUGAAAGGCGUAACGACUUGGGCACUGUCCGCGAAGAUGCGGGUUCCCCGCAGUAGGACGGAAAGACCCCGUGGAGCUUUACUACACCUUACGAUUGUGUUUUGGAUUGUAAUGUAGAGCGUAGGUGGGAGCUUCGGCACCAAUGGAACACCACCCUUUGCACUCUGGAACACUAACCUGUGCCCUCAUCGGGUAUGGAGACAGUCGUUGGCGGGUAGUUUGACUGGGGCGGUCGCCUCCAAAAAGGUAACGGAGGCGUUCAAAGGUACUCUCAGGCUGGUCGGAAAUCAGCCAUCGAGCGUAAUGGUAUAGAGAGUGCUUGACUGUGAGACAUACAGGUCGAGCAGGGACGAAAGUCGGACAUAGUGACCCUCUGGUGGUGCGUGGGCACGCCAGGGUUCAUCGGAUAAAAGCUACCCCGGGGAUAACAGGCUGAUCUUGCCCGAGCGCUCACAGCGACGGCAUGGUUUGGCACCUCGAUGUCGGCUCGUCACAUCCUGGGGCUGAAUUCGGUCCCAAGGGUUCCGGGGUUCACGGAUUAAAGUGGCACGCGAGCUGGGUUCAGAACGGCGUGAGCCAGUUCGGUCCCUAUCCACUGCGGGCGCAAGAGAUUUGAGGGGAGUCGCUCCUAGUACGAGAGGACCGGAGUGAACUGACCUCUGGUGUACCUGUUGUGCCGCCAGGCGCAGACGCAGGGUAGCCAAGUCGGGCAGUGAUAAGCGCUGAAAGCAUCUAAGCGCCAAGCACACCCCAAGAUUAGAUCUCUCACACGGUCAACGUGGUAAGAGCCCCAGAAGACUACUGGGUCGAUAGGCCGCAAUUGUAAGCACGGUAACGUGUUGAGAUAAGCGGUACUAAUAGCUCGAGGGCUUUUUUGAAC